rnacentral:rRNA from 1 species
UACGUAGGUGGCAAGCGUUGUCCGGAUUUAUUGGGCGUAAAGGGGGCGCAGGCGGUUCCUUAAGUCUGAUGUGAAAGCCCACGGCUCAACCGUGGAAGGUCAUUGGAAACUGGGGAACUUGAGUGCAGAAGAGGGGAGUGGAAUUCCAUGUGUAGCGGUGAAAUGCGCAGAGAUAUGGAGGAACACCAGUGGCGAAGGCGGCUCUCUGGUCUGUAACUGACGCUGAUGUGCGAAAGCGUGGGGAUCAAACAGG